rnacentral:lncRNA from 1 species
UAUAGAAAGAGAGAGAGAGAGAGAGAGCAAGGUUGCAGUGCUCUUAGGAGCACGGAGGUCUCCGUGCUUCUGAGCCGUUUUCGAUGAUAAAAUUUUCGAAUCGAUGAUCGGCUCCGUUAGACUUGAUCUAGCGCAUUUGAAGUUUCUAGAAAAUAAUUUUUACGAUUUUUUAAUAUCAUUUACCUAGUGAUCGAAAGAAUUCAAAAUCCAUAAUUUUUAAUGGCUGAUAUCUGCCGUUUUCAAGUUUAAUGGUGUGGAAGUAUUCAAAUUCAAAUUAGAUGAAAUUUUGAUACAAAGUUCUUUAUACCAUCUACAACAAGAUCAAUAUUUCUGAUCAAAAAUUUUAUUACUAUAUAACCACUUUUUAUAGAAUUUUAUUUUCAGCCGUUAAAAAUUAUUGAUUUUGAAUCAUUUUGAUUGCUAGGUAAAUGAUAUCGAAAAAUCGCAAAAAUUAUUUUCUAGAAACUUCAAAUACUUUAGAUCAAGUUUAACGGAGCCGAUCGUCGAUUCGGAAACUUUUAUCAUCGAAAACGGCUCAGGAGUACGGAGACCUCUGUGCACAGCCGCCCUGCUCUCUCUCUCUCUCUCUCUCUCUCUCUCUCUCUCUCUCUCUCUAUAUAUAUAUAUAUAUAUAUAUAUAUAUAUAUAUACCAUUUUGUAGGGCAACAUUUAAUAUUUUAUUUAUUGUAACAUAUAUUCCUUGUAGCUAGCUUUGGAGUUGCCUAAAAAGGUUGGGAAUAGUUAACUGUUGUACCCUUCAAAAUAUUUUAUAUUUUUUUAUUUCAAAUAUAGUACGUGUGUACAAAAAAUAAUUUCAAUAUCAUAGUCCGUUACGGACUGUCUCUAGAGCAAGUGGCAAAAGGCUUGGUGGUUAAUAUCCGAGACCAAAGUUUGAUUUCUAAUUGAUUCAUAUUUCCAGCUAAGCUUAUUUCUAAAUAAAAUAAACGAAGCAGAAAGCAUGCUACCUAUCUCUCUCAAAAAAUAUUAUCGUCCAUUAGAUUAUCUUGAAUUAAAUUCACAUUAAAAUCUCAACCAAAGUUAAAAAAUACUUUUUUUUUCUUGCUACUUAAUAAGUUUUUUUUAAAACUAAUCUCAUCACAUUCUA